rnacentral:rRNA from 1 species
AAAACUUUCAACAACGGAUCUCUUGGUUCUGGCAUCGAUGAAGAA